GAUGAAGAACGCAGCGAAAUGCGAUAAGUAAUGUGAAUUGCAGAAUUCAGUGAAUCAUCGAAUCUUUGAACGCACAUUGCGCCCGCUAGUAUUCUGGCGGGCAUGCCUGUCCGAGCGUCAUUUCAACCCUCAAGCCCCCGGGCUUGGUGUUGGGGAUCGGCGAGCCUCCGCGCCCGCCGUCCCCUAAAUCUAGUGGCGGUCUCGCUGUAGCUUCCUCUGCGUAGUAGCACACCUCGCACUGGGAAACAGCGCGGCCACGCCGUUAAACCCCCAACUUCUGAACGUUUGAUCUCGGAUCAGGUAGGAAUACCCGCUGAACUUAAGCAUAUCAAUAAGCGGAGGA
rnacentral:misc_RNA from 1 species